rnacentral:rRNA from 1 species
UACGUAGGGGGCAAGCGUUGUCCGGAAUCAUUGGGCGUAAAGCGCGUGUAGGCGGCUCAGUAAGUCCGCUCUGAAAGCCCGGGGCUCAACCCCGGGAGGCGGGUGGAUACUGCUGAGCUCGAGUCCGGAAGAGGAGUGUGGAAUUCCAGGUGUAGCGGUGAAAUGCGUAGAUAUCUGGAGGAAUACCGGUGGCGAAGGCGGCAUCCUGGACCCGAC